AUGAUAUCCAAUCUUCCAAAAUUACAAAAGCUUGUAAUCAGAAGUUACUGCUCGAAGCUCAAGACACUGAAAGAGAUGGAUGCACUCAGGCGGCUCCAGCUGACAGUUCGUUCCUGGGAGAAGCAACUUCCAUUCUACCUGCAGACUGUAAGGCCUAGUCAUUUGCUGCUGACCUGCAGCCUUCAAGUACUCACUUCCAUGGCUGCGGGUGAAUCUAGCUCCGAGUGGGACAAGUUCAGUCAUAUCAAGCAAGUCGAGGCUUAUGCAGGGGAUGGAGCAGAUGGGAAGAAAUGGCACGUGCUCUACACAUCCGAACCCUACAACAUGGAGACGAAUAUAGAGCUAAAUCUUCAGUAUGAUAGAGCCUGA
rnacentral:rRNA from 1 species